CCCUAGCUUUUAACCAUGUGCAUAUUUGGUUGCAUGUUAUUUCUGCUGCACUUUUAUUUUGUAAUUACAUAUCUUUAAAUACAAAAUAAAAAAGAAUGCACUUCCGGGUAGGAGCGGAAGUACGCUUCUUCAUUCAGAGCUCUGGCGUUUGUGCGCUUUUUUUUGAGGCGCUACAGCCGCUUUUCUCCCGUUUGUACUCUUCUUUAUUCCGCGGAGCAUCAACUCCGGACUUGUUUUGUGAAUAUAUUCUUUUUUUUUACAGCUUCAUCGCCAUUAGUUUUAAAAAAUGUCCCGAAGGCGACACAGCGACGAGAAUGAGGGAGGUCAGCCCCAUAAAAGGAGGAGAACAUCGGAGCCCAUAGAGAUUGAAGACCGCCUGGAGUCCCUCAUAUGUCGGGUUGGGGAGAAGAGCACGUCCUCCUUGGAAAGCAACCUGGAGGGCCUGGCUGGAGUGUUGGAGGCAGACCUUCCCAACUACAAAAACAAGAUCCUGCGGAUUCUGUGUUCUGUGGCCCGGCUGCUUCCCGAGAAGCUGACGGUCUACACCACGCUGGUCGGACUCCUCAAUGCACGCAACUACAACUUCGGCGGAGAGUUUGUGGAAGCCAUGAUCCGGCAACUUAAAGAGACUCUUAAGAACAACCUGUACAUCGAGGCCGUUUACCUGGUGCGUUUCCUGUCUGAUCUGGUCAACUGCCACGUGAUCGCCGCCCCCUCCAUGAUCGAAGAGGAUGUGCCACAGGUGCGCUCGGACUGGUUUGUGUACGUGGUGCUGUCCUGUCUCCCCUGGGUGGGCAAAGAACUGUACGAGAAGAAGGACGUGGAGAUGGACCGGCUCCUCAGUCAGAUUGAAGGUUACCUCAAGAGGCGAGUGAAGACACACUUGCCCAUGCUACAGGUGUGGUCAGCGGAGAAGCCCCACCCACAGGAGGAGUACCUGGACUGCCUGUGGGCUCAGAUCCAGAAGCUGAAAAAGGAUCGGUGGCAGGAGCGGCACAUCCUCCGUCCCUACAUCGCCUUCGACAGCGUCCUGUGUGAGGCGCUGCAGCACAACCUGCCCCCAUUCACCCCCCCGGGACACAUGCCCGACGCACACUACCCCAUGCCCCGGGUCAUCUUCCGCAUGUUCGACUACACAGACGCCCCGGAGGGCCCAGUGAUGCCUGGGAGCCAUUCAGUGGAGAGGUUCGUCAUAGAAGAGAAUCUCAACUGUAUCAUCAAGACCCACUGGAAAGAGCGCAAGACAUGUGCAGCCCAGUUACUCAGUUAUCCAGGCAAAAGCAAGAUCCCCCUCAACUAUCACAUUGUGGAGGUGAUAUUUGGCCAACUGUUCCAGCUGCCCGUUCCUCCGCACUUAGACGUCAUGUACACCACGCUGCUCAUUGAACUGUGCAAACUACAGCCUGGCUCUCUGCCACAGGUCGUAUCCUUUACAUCAGUGCGGCUCCAAGUUUGUCUGAUGCAUGUUUGUUUGUUUGUUUGUUUUAGGGCCGACUGUCUGACGGUGGAUUCAGAAAUGCCUAAGCCCAAGUUUGUCCGAGAGGUUCUGCAGAAGUCCAUGAGACUGUCCUACCACCAGCGCAUUGUGGACAUCGUCCCUCCCACCUUCGCCGCCCUCAUCCCUUCAGAGCCACUCUUUAUUUACAAGUAUGCAGAUGAGAGCGCAGCCUCUUUACCUGGGUACCCCGUGUCUCUUACCGUGGUAAACGCCAUCAAAAACAAAGCCACCAACGAGGAGAUCCUCAACAUCCUCAAAGAAGUGCCCAACCCCAACCAGGAGGACGACGACGAUGAGGGCGAGAGCUUCAACCCUCUGAAGAUUGACGUGUUCCUGCAGACCCUGCUCCACAUGGCAGCCAAGUCCUUCAGCCACUCCUUCAGCGCUCUGGGCAAGUUCCAUGAGAUCCUGAAGGCGCUCACAGACAGCGACGAGGGAAAACUGCACAUUCUCAAAGUGGUAUACGACGCAUGGAAGAACCACCCACAGAUGAUUUCAGUCCUGGUGGAUAAAAUGGUCCGGACACAGAUCGUAGACUGUGCAGCCGUGCUGUACAUCUGGGAGAUCCUUACUGAGUGUGGGGAUUUUACUGAGCCGUGUGACCGUCUCCUACAGCGGGACAGCGGGGACGACGAGGACAUGGAGCGCACCAGCGAGGACGAGGAGGGUCAACUGGAGGAUGAGCAGAAGAACCUGUUCCUCGUCAUCUUCCAGGUUCAUCAUGCUGCUGACGGACACCUGGUACGCUGUGAGACGGGCAGCGUGGACGUCAGCACGGCCUGGUACAAGAGCUGCACCGACCGGCUGCAGCAGAUCUUCCUCUUGCAUUACCAGACCAUCCAGCAGUACAUGGGCACCCUGGGAGAACCUCCUUUCACGCAGUUCUGUGCCCUGCAGCUCUGA
rnacentral:lncRNA from 1 species